AGCUUAGAGUUUUAUUCUAGGUGAAACCUGCCCAGUGCGAAAAAAUCAUGUUAACGGCCGCAGUACCUUGACUGUGCUAAGGUAGCAUAAUAAGUUGGCUUUUAAAUGGAGUCGGGAAUGAAUGGGAUAAUGGGGUUAAGCUGUCUCUACUACACUAAGUUUAAUUUAACUAUUAGGUGAAAAUGCCUAAAUUAAGAAAAAAGACGAGAAGACCCUAGGAGUUUUAAUAAAAAGACUAAAAUUAGAACUUGCAUUUUUGUUGGGGCGACAAAGGAAGAUUUAAAACCUCCUUUCUAUUAUUUGCCGACUAUAGUAUGAAAAUUUAAACUACCCUAGGGAUAACAGCGUAAUUUUUUAUAAAGUUUGCGACCUCGAUGUUGGACUAGGAAUUUGGCAGACUAGCCGUCUGUUUACAUUGUUCUGUUCGAACUAUACUUCCUACAU
rnacentral:rRNA from 1 species